rnacentral:rRNA from 1 species
AUUGAACGCUGGCGGCAUGCUUUACACAUGCAAGUCGAGCGGCAGCGCGGGGCAACCUGGCGGCGAGCGGCGAACGGGUGAGGAAUACAUCGGAACGUACCCGGAAGUGGGGGAUAACGCCGCGAAAGCGGCGCUAAUACCGCAUAUUCUGUACGCAAGAAAGUGGGGGACCGCAAGGCCUCACGCUUUCGGAGCGGCCGAUGUCGGAUUAGCUAGUUGGUGGGGUAAAGGCUUACCAAGGCGACGAUCCGUAGCUGGUCUGAGAGGAUGAUCAGCCACACUGGGACUGAGACACGGCCCAGACUCCUACGGGAGGCAGCAGUGGGGAAUUUUGGACAAUGGGGGCAACCCUGAUCCAGCCAUGCCGCGUGCGGGAAGAAGGCCUUCGGGUUGUAAACCGCUUUUAGCCGGGAAGAAAAGGCACGGGACAAUACCCCGUGUUCUUGACGGUACCGGCGGAAUAAGCACCGGCUAACUACGUGCCAGCCGCCGCCGUAAAAC